GUGUCAGCAGCCGCGGUAAUACAGAGGGUGCAAGCGUUAAUCGGAAUUACUGGGCGUAAAGCGCGCGUAGGCGGUUGUGUAAGUUGGAUGUGAAAGCCCCGGGCUCAACCUGGGAACUGCAUUCAAAACUGCACGGCUAGAGUAUUGGAGAGGAAGGUAGAAUUCCAGGUGUAGCGGUGAAAUGCGUAGAGAUCUGGAGGAAUACCGAUGGCGAAGGCAGCCUUCUGGCCAAAUACUGACGCUGAGGUGCGAAAGCAUGGGGAGCAAACAGGAUUAGAUACCCUGGUAGUCCAUGCCGUAAACGAUGUCAACUAGGUGUUGGGGAACUUGAUUCCUUAGUGCCGCAGCUAACGCAUUAAGUUGACCGCCUGGGGAGUACGGCCGCAAGGUUAAA
rnacentral:rRNA from 1 species